rnacentral:rRNA from 1 species
UACGUAGGGGGCUAGCGUUGUCCGGAAUCAUUGGGCGUAAAGCGCGUGUAGGCGGUUCGGUAAGUCCGCUGUGAAAGUCGAGGGCUCAACCCUCGAAAGCCGGUGGAUACUGUCGGGCUAGAGUGCGGAAGAGGCGAGUGGAAUUCCUGGUGUAGCGGUGAAAUGCGUAGAUAUCAGGAGGAACACCUGUGGUGUAGACGGCUUUCUGGACCAUCACUGACGCUGAGACACGAAAGCGUGGGGAGCAAACAGG